rnacentral:rRNA from 1 species
AUUGAACGCUGGCGGCAUGCUUUACACAUGCAAGUCGAACGGUAACAGGCCGCAAGGUGCUGACGAGUGGCGAACGGGUGAGUAAUGCAUCGGAACGUGCCCAGUCGUGGGGGAUAACUACUCGAAAGAGUAGCUAAUACCGCAUACGAUCUAUGGAUGAAAGCGGGGGACCGUAAGGCCUCGCGCGAUUGGAGCGGCCGAUGUCAGAUUAGGUAGUUGGUGGGGUAAAGGCUCACCAAGCCAACGAUCUGUAGCUGGUCUGAGAGGACAACCAGCCACACUGGGACUGAGACACGGCCCAGACUCCUACGGGAGGCAGCAGUGGGGAAUUUUGGACAAUGGGCGCAAGCCUGAUCCAGCAAUGCCGCGUGCAGGAAGAAGGCCUUCGGGUUGUAAACUGCUUUUGUACGGAACGAAACGGCUCUGGUUAAUACCCGGGGCUAAUGACGGUACCGUAAGAAUAAGCACCGGCUAUCUACGUG